rnacentral:lncRNA from 1 species
CGAGGGAGGGAGGGGCCUAGGAUCGAGUGGGUGAGGCGCAGGACGAGUCGCUUACCAGGUACUGGGCAGCUCGGGGGUGGGCGUGGCGCGCGAACGCGGAGGACAGCCCUUGCGCAGGCGCAGAGGCCGCUGCGCGGGUUGGGGCGAGGGGGACCUCACGAGGCCUGGGUCCUGGGCUGUGGGCCAUCAGGGGCAGGAGUCCGAGGUGCGGGACUGUGUCCCGAGGCGGCGCUGGCGGCUCCCGGAAGCUCUUUCCCAUUUCCUUUCCUUUACCCCCGUCUUCUCAGUGAGAUUUCCUUGACUCCACUUUUUGCAAAGACUGAGUUUGCUUCAGCAUCCACAAACUCUUCACCUCAGAUUGGUUCCUGUGGGUUUUUGUUUGCAAGUCAGCAGGAGUUAAGCAUAUACCAGCUGAAAAGCCAAAUAAGGAAAUGCAUCCCUUCUUCCAGCAGUUCUAAGUUAACUUGGCCAAAGCCAGUUUUUCUUUUGGCUUG